rnacentral:tRNA from 1 species
GGUUGUGGCUCAGUGGUAGAGCACUUACCUCACACCAGUGAGGCACUGGGUUCAAUCCUCAGCACCUCA